rnacentral:RNase_P_RNA from 1 species
GGAGAUGGAGGGUGGCCGACGGUAGCCGCAAGGCAGCUGAGGAAGUUCCCCUCUCCGAGGGCAAGAUGGACCGGGGCAAUCCGGUACGGCGAGAGCCGUGGCAAGGGCACAGAAACGACACAGAUCCGGCAACAAGGAUGAUCCGCCAGGCGGUGACGCUCCCGGAGAUUUGGUGAAACGGCGACCCCCCAUCGGAGCAAGUCCGCACAACGGGGAAGACCUGCCCGGGACCCGUGGGUAGGACGCAUUAGUUGAAUGCCACCUGAAACAGAAAGGGGGCUACUACCAUCAC